GGUGUUGCAAUGGUUAAGCGCUUGGCUGCUAACCAAGAGAUUGGCGGUUCAAACCCACCAGCACCU
rnacentral:tRNA from 1 species